rnacentral:rRNA from 1 species
AUGGAUUCGCUCCUACCUGGUGUGGACGGAGAACUCGGUCGUUCCCCGUCGUCAGAUGUGCCAUCCCACAGGAGGUCGAGAUCAAUGGGACAUCAGAACUUCAUGAGUAUAGAGUUACACCAGAUAAAUGCGACGACCCCGGAGUUCACACUCCAGCUAUUAGACCAUAUUACAAAUCAUUUUUCUGAGGAGAGCAUAAUUGGCCGUGGUGGGUCUGGAGUAGUUUACAAGGGUGUAUUGGACAACGGUGAAGAGAUUGCCAUGAAGAAGCUUCAUCAAAUGCAUGGGCUUGACGAGAAGCAAUUUACAAACGAAUUCAACAAUCUUAUGAGAGCCAAACAUAAAAAUAUUAUACGGUUAGUUGGCUACUGCUACUAUCUAGGACAUGAACGUGUAGAGCACAAAGGAAAAUAUGUUUUUGCUCAUGUGCAAGAAAGACUGCUCUGUUACGAAUAUUUGCCAGGUGGAAGUCUAGAUGAGCAUCUUUCUGAUGAAUCAUGCGGACUUGCCUGGGACACACGUUACCAAAUAAUAAAAGGUGUCUGCGAGGGUUUAAAAUUCCUUCAUAAAGGAUCCGAAGACCCUAUUUGCCAUUUGGACUUAAAACCAGCGAAUAUAUUGCUGGACAAAGAUAUGAUACCCAAAAUUGCAGAUUUUGGUUUGUCCAGACUCUUCGCUUCAGCACAGACCCAUAUCACAACGCAAAUUAUUGGAACACUUGGAUACAUGCCUCCUGAAUUCAUAGAAAGGGGCAAAAUCACACUGAAAUUUGACAUAUUCAGUCUGGGUGUUAUAAUUAUAAAAAUAAUAGCUGGGCCUGAUGGUUACUCCAAAUUUGCAGAUAUGCCUUCCGAAGAAUUCAGUAAGCUGGUACACGAAAACUGGGCAAAGAGGUUGCAUGAAACGAUGCAGUCACUUACAUCGCAAGAAAUAAAGACAUGCAUAGACAUCGCAUCAAGAUGUGUGGAGAGGGAUGAAGAGAAAAGGCCAUGUAUAAGCGAGAUUAUCAAUGAAUUGAAUAAGAUUGACAAUGGCAUUAUUAACGAACCGGAUAAGAAUUAUAGUGACAUUGUGGAUGAACAAGACAAGCUUAAUGUUCACCUUGUCGAUGAAGUGGAUAAGAUUGAUGGAUACAUAGUUGAUGAACAGGGCAAGAUUGACCCGGACAUUGUCGACAAACAAGAUAAGCUUAGUACUGCCAAAACUUCAACUACGAACCUGAUACCCGCGGACAGACUGGACUCGCUUUUUACCCCACGAUGCGUGUGGGUGAAUGGCCCUAUCAUCAUCGGCGCCGGCCCAUCAGGGCUCGCGGUGGCGGCCAGCCUCCGAGAGCAUGCCGUGCCAUUCGUCAUGCUCGAGCGAGAGGACUGCAUCGCCUCACUAUGCCGAAAGCGCACCUACGAUAGUCUGAAGGUUAACCACCCUAAGCAGUUUUGCGAGCUCCCGGGAAUGCCACUCCCGGAUCACUUCCCAGAGUACCUCACCCGCGCCCACUUCAUGGACUACCUCCAGCAGUACACCACCAAGUUCAACAUCAAGCCGAAUUUCAACAACACCGUCCUGUCCGCGCGCUUCGACGAGACCUCUGGCUUGUGGCGCGUGUGUGCACGGGGCGCAGAAACGGACGGCAAUGCCAAGAUGGAGUACAUCAGCCGCUGGCUGGUCGUGGCGACCGGCGCUGAGGCAGUCGUCCCUGACAUCCCGGGGCUAGCCGGUUUCUGUGGAGAGGUCACCCAUUCCAGCGACUACAGCUCCGGCAUUUCCUACAUCGGCAAGCGCGUGCUCGUGGUGGGCUCCGGCCAGUCCGGCAUGGAGGUGUCCGUCGACCUGUGCAACGGCGGCGCGGUCCCGUUCAUGGUGGUCAGGAAUGUGCUCGGCAUUGCCACGUUAUACCUCACCGUACUGCUCAUGUGGUGGCUCCCGCUCUGGCUCGUGGACAAGAUCAUGGCCCUCCUCGCCUGGAUAGUAUUCGCCGACCUCACCAGGCUUGGCGUCCGGACGCCGUCCGUCAACUCGCUCACGCUCAAGAAGACUGACGACUAUGGACGCGCCUGGCGCGCGACGGCCAGAAAGAUCAGGUCGGGUGAGAUCACCGUUGUCACUAGUGUGAGGCGCUUCACCAAGUCCGGCGCCGAGCUGUCCGAUGACAGCGUCGUCGACGUCGACGCCGUCAUUCUGGCCACUGGCUACCGCAGCAAUGUGACCCAGUGGUUCCAGGGCAACAAUUUAUUUGACGAGAACGGUUGGCCCAAGACCUCGGUCCCCGAUGGCUGGAAGGGUCACUCCGGGCUCUACUCCGUCGGCUUCUCCCGCCGCGGUCUCUUGGGCGCCUCUGCUGAUGCCGUGUGUGUCGCAAAAGACCUUGGGCACACGUGCAAAGAGGAAACGAAGCCGACGAGGAAGAUGGGUGCUUGUCACCGUAGAGCAAUUUCUGCCAUAUUUUAG